AGUGGAGGUGUAUGCAGAGUUUUAUUUUCUUAACCAUGCAGGGAAUCAUUUGACAUGCUGUUUCCCCCCAGCACUUUGCUCUUAAGACAGUCAAGGAAACUCAUGAGUUUUGGAAGGCGCUGAUCUCCAAAAAGACCAACGCUGGAGAACUGAACUGUACCAACACCUGUGUCACAGACAGUCCAUUCUGCUGUUCCACUACUGAUGCUAAGGCUGUUGUUGAUGCCGCAUGUGUUUUUGGCCCUGAAGACCCUAUUCCAAGUGCAGUUGACAAAUGGUUCUAUGUCUAAGUGAACUGACCCAGAAAGAAGAGCCUUCAGAUUGGACCAAAAUGUUUUCUCACCUGAACGGAAGAAUAUACUUGGAAAUGACAGAAAACAUGUGUAGUAUAAUUACAGUUUCCCAUUUUUAGUAUGAAUUGUGAUUGAUGCUUGUCCUCUUAACAUGACAAGUACUCAACCAAGUAAGCCUGUUCUUUAUGUUUAUUAUAUUUCUCAAAUGUGUAACAAUAUGACCUUUAUAGUCCGUCUAAACCUCUGCACUUUACCGUGUCUUGCAUCAUGUUGUUUGAUUCUGAAAUCGGAAAAUUGUCAUAAAUCUUCAAAUAAAUACCAUCAUCACAUCCCCGUC